CCUAAUACAUGCAAGUCGAGCGGUAAGGCUUUCACAGAUUAUUUAACCAGAUAAGUUCUUCGGAAAACUGUUUGCAGCGAUGAUUCCCCGGCUAGGGAAUCAGAGUUGAAUAAUGCGUGAAAGUACACGAGCGGCGGACGGCUGAGUAACACGUAGGAACGUACCCCAAAGUGAGGGAUAAGCACCGGAAACGGUGUCUAAUACCGCAUGUGAUCUUCGGAUUAAAGCUUCGGCGCUUUGGGAACGGCCUGCGCAUGAUUAGCUUGUUGGUGAGGUAAAAGCUCACCAAGGCGACGAUCAUUAGCUGGUCUGAGAGGAUGAUCAGCCAGACUGGGACUGAGAACGGCCCAGACUCCUACGGGAGGCAGCAGUAGGGAAUUUCCACAAUGGACGAAAGUCUGAUGGAGCAACGCCGCGUGCAGGAUGAAGGGUUUCGGCUCGUAAACUGCUUUUAUCUGUGAAGAUUAUGACGGUAGCAGAUGAAUAAGGAUCGGCUAACUCCGUG
rnacentral:rRNA from 1 species